CCUUGCAGCAAAGGUAACAUCAAUACCAUGGCUGCUACCAAGUGGCUACUUCUCCUUUUCUCAGUAGCCCUGUUGGGCCUGAGCUCAGCUCAAUUCAUUGAUGAGGAAGAAGAACAAAGUUUGGAAUAUUUAAUAGGCCUACCACAACCAGACUACUCACAGCAGGAUGAUCAGGACUCUAGCAAUGAUCAAGAUGAUAACUAACUACCUGAGCCUCAAGAUGCCCUUGGAGAUGAUGAAUCAGGAGAGUCAGAUGAAGGUGGUGAACCAGGUGGUCCUCAGGGAGGCCCUCCAGGUGGCCAGCAGGGAGGCCCUCAAGGCGGCCAGCAGGGAAGUGCUCCAGGUGGUCAGUAAGGAGAUCAUCCACUCUCCUCAACACCAAGAGCUAAAAAUCUAA
rnacentral:lncRNA from 1 species